AAACACCUCUCUUUCUGCUUUGGAUUUGGCUGCGAAUUCCAUCGUAAUGAGGGAGCGAAUUCACUUGCUCGGGCCCUCAGAGUAAACACCUAUCUUUCCUCUUUGGAUUUGAGUUCCAAUUCCAUUGGUGCUGAGGGAGCAAUUUCACUUGCUCAGGCCCUCAGA